UGCUCUGGUGGCCUAGUGGAUAGAGCGUCCGCCUCAGAUGCGGGAAGUAGUGCGUUAGAUCCCCAGCUGAGUCA